CAAAAUUUGAGUUUUUUAAGAUUUUAUUCUAAAAUUUGGGCGUAUUCACUACUGUAACUCAUGCGCCGGGGAUCGGGAUUCAGUCUGCCGCAAGGUCUCGAGGGUGGAACCCGUGCUGUUUGUUACCGCGUCGGCUAUCGCACUUGCUCACUCACGAGUCACAUGACACGUCACAUUAUUUGAAGAUAAUAACAUUAGCUUAUUGUGUUUGAUAUUUACGUUUGUUUAGUUUAUAGCUUUUUUGUGUUAGCAUAGACCUAUUGUGUUAUUUAUUGCGAAAGGACGCUUUGUGUGUAAAAGAACUAUUGAGUAUUGCGAAAAGACGCUACUGUUUUUUAAACACUCAAAAUGCCAAAAUACAAGAAAAUUGUGCGACAAGGACGUGCAAAAGUAGCAAAGAUGAUUGAAGCUCGCCGGGCUAAAAGAAAUAGACAAAAUAGUGACGAAACGCCAACCACUUCUAAAGAUGCUCAACAAAAUUACUUUGAUAGCAGGUUAAAAGAUAACCAAAGUGAUGAACAACCACCAAUAAUGGAUAUUUCUAAUAUACAACCUAU